AUAGAACUCUGCGAGCCGGCGUAACAGAUGCAAGUCGAGCGAGCGGCGGACGGGUGAGUAAUGUCUGGGAAACUGCCUGAUGGAGGGGGAUAACUCCUGGAAACGGUAGCUAAUACCGCCUACCAUCAGAUGUGCCCAAAUGGGAUUAGCAAGUAGGUGGGGUAAUGGCUCACCGAGGACAAGAUCCCUAGCUGGUCUGAGAGGAUGACCAGCGAAACUGGAACUGAAACACGGUCAAGACUCCUACGGGAGGCAGAAUAGGGGAAUAUUGCAGAAUGGACGCAAGCCUGAUGCAGCCAUGCCGCGUGUGUGAAUAAGGCCUUCGGGGUGUAAAGCACUUUCAGCGAGGAGGCGUUACUCGCAGAAGAAGCACGGGUUAACUCCGUGCCAGCCGCCGCGGUAAUAC
rnacentral:rRNA from 1 species